CCUAUCCUUCUGCUCACCUGUCCCUGGCAACACCAUCUCCAUUACUUCCACUUUACUCCACUCCCCUCUCUAUUCAUCCCAUGCACUCUACAUAUACCUUUCCAGCCUAUCUCCUCCGACUCCUCCCAAAUCCAGCCUAUCUCUUCCAGCUCCUCUUAAAUCCUCUCCUUGAUUACCACCUCUCGUUUGCUCUCAAGUACCCCCUCACCCAACAACCCCAGC